rnacentral:rRNA from 1 species
GAUGAGCUGUGGGUCGGAGUGAAAGGCUAAUCAAACCUGGAGAUAGCUGGUUCUCCCCGAAAGGCAUUGAGGUGCCGCCUCGGGUAGCACCAUCGGCGGUAGAGCACUGAAUGGGCUAGGGGCCGAAAAGGCUGCCAAACCCAAUCAAACUCCGAAUUCCGAUGAGUGACGCUCGGGAGUGAGACGGCGGGUGAUAAGGUCCGUCGUCGAAAGGGAAAGAGCCCAGACUGCCAGCUAAGGUCCCCAAGUGUGUGCUAAGUGGUCAAGGAUGUGGGGAAACACAGACAACCAGGAGGUUGGCUUAGAAGCAGCCACCCUUUAAAGAAAGCGUAACAGCUCACUGGUCGAGCGAGCCUGCACCGAAAAUUUAACGGGGCUCAAGUCAUGCGCCGAAGCUAUGGGAUUUAUAUUUAUAUAAAUCGGUAGGGGAGCGUUCCCUGUGCAGUGAAGCUGAAUCGAGAGGGUCAGUGGAGCGCAGGGAAGUGAGGAUGUUGGCAUAAGUAACGAAAAUGUGGGCGAGAAACCCACACGCCGAAAGCCCAAGGUUUCCCGGGCCAUGUUAUUCAGCCCGGGGUUAGUCGGCACCUAAGACGAGGCCGAAAGGCGUAGUCGACGGAAAACCGGUUCAUAUUCCGGUACUUGCAUGUGCGCGUGAUGGAGGGACGCAGGAGGAUAGGCCGGCCUGGUGAUGGAUAUCCAGGUUCAAGGCCGUAGGCGGAAGUCUCAGGUAAAUCCGGGACUUUAUCUAACGCCGAGAGUCGAUGACGAGAGGCUUUGCUUCGCAAAGCGGUCGAUUCCACACUGCCAAGAAAAGCUUCUAAGCAUAGCAGAUGCAAACCGUACCCCAAACCGACACAGGUGGGCGGGUAGAGAAUACCAAGGCGCUUGAGGGAAAUCAUGUUAAGGAACUCUGCAAAAUAACUCCGUAACUUCGGAAGAAGGAGUGCCUGCAGCGGUGAAGGGACUUGCUCCUGGAGCUUAAGCGGGCCGCAGUGACCAGGCCCAGCCGACUGUUUAGCAAAAACACAGCACUCUGCUAAAUCGCAAGAUGAUGUAUAGGGUGUGACGCCUGCCCGGUGCCGGAAGGUUAAUGGGAGGGGUUACCCCGCUUCUAAAUGGUUUAUUGAUUAAAAACGCAUAUGCAUUAUGUUUACAUCAUUCAUAGCAAUAAUGACCAGUUCUACAUUGGAUACAGUUCUGAUUUAAGAGCAAGGAUAACUGCUCAUAAUGAAGGACAAACCAAGUCAACAAGAGGACGAAUAUGGAAAUUGGUUUACUAUGAAGCAUAUCUGGAUGAGAAAAGUGCUCGUCACAGAGAGCGGAUGUUAAAACAUGAUGGUCGCACUCGUCGAUAUUUGAUGGAGCGAGUUAAAGAAAGCGUAAAGAAUCAUUUAGUAGCGGGGGAAGCUCCGAACUGAAGCCCCGGUAAACGGCGGCCGUAACUAUAACGGUCCUAAGGUAGCGAAAUUCCUUGUCGGGUAAGUUCCGACCUGCACGAAUGGCGUAACGAUCUGGGCGCUGUCUCAAUGUGAUUCUCAGUGAAAUUGAAAUGGCGGUGAAGAUACCGUCAACCCGCGGCAAGACGGAAAGACCCCGUGCACCUUUACUGCAGCUUGGCAGUGAACUUGGGAGAGAUUUGUGUAGGAUAGGUGGGAGGCUGCGAAGGGGGGGCGCUAGUCCCUCUGGAGCCACCCUUGAAAUACCACCCUGAUUUUUUCUGUGUUCUAACUUAGUCCCGUUAUCCGGGACAAGGACCCUGCCUGGUGGGCAGUUUGACUGGGGCGGUCGCCUCCUAAAGAGUAACGGAGGCGCGCAAUGGUUCCCUCAGCCGGUUUGGAAAUCCGGCGCAGAGUGCAAAGGCACAAGGGAGCUUGACUGCAAGAGCGACAGCUCGAGCAGGUACGAAAGUAGGUCUUAGUGAUCCGGUGGCCCCGUGUGGAAGGGCCAUCGCUCAACGGAUAAAAGGUACGCCGGGGAUAACAGGCUAAUCGCGCCCAAGAGUUCAUAUCGACGGAGCGGUUUGGCACCUCGAUGUCGGCUCAUCGCAGCCCGGGG